rnacentral:rRNA from 1 species
CGUAGGGUGCGAGCGUUAAUCGGAAUUACUGGGCGUAAAGCGUGCGCAGGCGGUUUUGUAAGACAGAUGUGAAAUCCCCGGGCUCAACCUGGGACCUGCAUUUGUGACUGCAAGGCUAGAGUACGGUAGAGGGGGAUGGAAUUCCGCGUGUAGCAGUGAAAUGCGUAGAUAUGCGGAGGAACACCGAUGGCGAAGGCAAUCCCCUGGACCUGUACUGACGCUCAUGCACAAAAGCGUGGGGAGCAAACAGGAUUAGAUACCCUGGUAGUCCACGCCCUAAACGAUGUCAACUGGUUGUUGGGUCUUUACUGACUCAGUAACGAAGCUAACGCGUGAAGUUGACCGCCUGGGGAGUACGGCCGCAAGGUUG